AGAAUAGUGAAUUGAAGCUUCUAACUUCUAAAUUAGCAAAUAGCUACUAUAAUU
rnacentral:tRNA from 1 species